rnacentral:lncRNA from 1 species
CUGAUCAGUUCAGCUACCUCUGUUUUGUCUGUCCUAUCUUGAGAACGUGGGUCGUCAGUUUUGUUAGCUGAAUAAGGAAAGUCCACUCUGCAGUAGUCAAAGUACCUGAAACUCUUUCUUAGUUUUGGAUACAACCAAACUGCAUCAAGACAGAUUGCUUGAAGACAAAAGAUUAUCAACUCCAACGGUUCUUUUUGCAACGACUCUUUUCUAGUGGUAUAUAUACUAGAAGAUUCAGCUACAACAUAUAUAUACAAUUAUCAAGAAUUGAACGUGCGCUGAACAAACUCUGAACUCUGUGAUAUACAAGCUCUGAACCUUUCUCAAGUGUUUUUUGCACUUUAGCCAAAUACUCUGUAAUAUUUGUAUUUGCUCUCUUUAGGUUCAUCUAAGAGCAUUUGUAUAUUUUUAUAUACUUUACUAUUUUCUUGAGGAAACUUAAGCUUGUGUGCUUAAG